GACAGAGGGUGCAAACGUUUGUUCGGAAUUACUGGGCGUAAAGCGCGUGUAGGCUGCUCGGAAAGUCGGGUGUGAAAGCCCUGGGCUCAACCUAGGAAGUGCACUCGAAACUUCCGAGCUGGAGUUUCGGAGAGGAAGGCGGAAUUCUCGGUGUAGAGGUGAAAUUCGUAGAUAUCGAGAGGAACAUCGGUGGCGAAGGCGGCC
rnacentral:rRNA from 1 species